CUUAGGAUCAGCUGUAGAAAUACGGCCUUCCCGCAAGGGACCUGAGUAUAGGCGCUGCAUGGCUGUCGUCAGCUCGUGCCGUGAGGUGUUGGGUUAAGUCCCGCAACGAGCGCAACCCUGCACACAGUUACUACUCGCAAGAGAGGACUCUGUGUGGACUGCUCCGGAUAACGGAGAGGAAGGUGGGGAUGACGUCAAGUCCGCAUGGCCUUUAUGUCCAGGGCUACACACGUGUUACAAUGCAGGGCACAAACCGUUGCCAACCCGCGAGGGGGAGCUAAUCGGAAAAAACCCUGCUCAGUUCGGAUUGCAGUCUGCAACUCGACUGCAUGAAGCCGGAAUCGCUAGUAAUGGCGUAUCAGAUCGACGCCGUGAAUACGUUCCCGGGCCUUGUACACACCGCCCGUCACAUCACGAAAGUGAGUUGUACUAGAAGUCGCCGCGCGAACCGCAAGGACGCAAGCGCCCAAGGUAUGACUCAUGAUUGGGGUGAAGUCGUAACAAGGUAAGCGUAGUGCU
rnacentral:rRNA from 1 species